AUGCAAGGUAGGGCCGGUGGCCCGAGAGGCCAGCAGGGUGGAAGGGGCUGGCAUGGGGGAGUGCAUUUGUUGAAAAACAGGAGGCUGCAGAUUUCUAAGAAAGCUCCCGAAAGAGGGGCCAGGGACCCUAGCCAGCCCAGGGCAGGCGAGGCAGAGGAUGGACUGGCCCAAGGAAGGCUCCCGAGGAGCGUUAGGGUGCCAGGCUUGCUUGGGCAUCGCGUGGAGCUGCAUAGGGAAAAAUCAGGGUACGGCAGCAUGGCAUCCCCCUGGGUGCCCUCGGAUGGGAAGCAAACCGCGCUGGGUGCUCGCUCAAGGACCCAGCACGUAACAGCCCCACGGGGAUGGCGGUGGCUGGGGCACAGCCUCCCCCGGGGCACCCAGCUCCGGGCAGCCCCAGCCACUGCCGCGGGCUGCAGCCCUGCCUUUUGUGGGCACAGCUGGGAGCUGAGUUGUCCCAUUGAAAAGCCACUUCAGGGGAUUUUAUCUCAGCUAUUGUUUGGCUCAGGAAACAGCAAUCAACGGAGCAUUGCGUUGCAUCUGGGCGAGCAGGGCCAGUUGGUUCAGAGGGGAAAUACCAGCUGCCCCUCCAUGGGGAUUUCUGGUCUUGGGCGAGCUCGGGUAGGCGCAGCUCUGCCGACCCCACACCUCAGGGCCCUGUGCUUCGUGUCCCCAGCGCGUCAGCUCUCCGCCGUGGUGUGUGCAUGCCCAUACACCGGGUUUUGCAUCCACGGGCUUGUUGCUCCCCGCUUUAAUGUCAGUGUUGCAUUGGCGGGGGUUGCUUUUAAGCAGCCCAGGUGUUUUCCGUUGCUCACUGUGUGGUUAUCAGCCCUUGUGCAUCUCCUUGUAGGGCAUCCUUCGGAUCAGGUUAGCAGACAGCAUAACCAUGUGGCUGGGUGUGUUUGCUUUCUGAUCCUAACCCCCUUCCCUGCCGUGUUUGUUUGCACAGAGCCAGCUUUAUUUUGCCAUCCUACCUCCAUGCUCCCGUGGUGGCAGGCGGGUUUGCAAACCCAUGGCCCCAUCUUCCAGGGGCGGCAAAUUGCUCCCAGGAGCAGACGGGAGCAGGGGCUGCCCAGGGCUGGGCUGCCACUGACUGGCUUUGGCAGGCAAUGGGGGGGUGCAGGAUGUUUUUUUUGGCCAGCGAAACUUCCUCCUCCACUCGCGAAGGCGGCUGUAGCAGGGGAGCUCGAGGACGAGGCAGUUCACCUUGUGGCGGUGGUAAGCUGCUUUUGA
rnacentral:lncRNA from 1 species